UGAUUUUUAGAAGCCAAAAACAGAAUUUAGGAGAAGAAGAAGAAGAAGAAGAAAACAUGAGAAGAAGAAGAAGGAAGGAGAAUACCAUUCAUCUUUCGGCCUUGCAUGCACCUUUGAUCCAUCAAUCUUCAUCAUCCACUUCUGAUUUUCGGAGCUUCUUCCUCAGCUUAAUCAGGUGGUUCGAGGCAGGAUCGAGGCAAGGGUAAGAUGACUUAGCUUCGAGUUGAUGUUUCUUGGCGAUGCUUUCCGUUGUAGACUAUAAACUUUUGUAUCUCUAUCUUUUGUACUAUGGAUAUGUAUUUGUACCAGUUGGAACUCUUGUAUUUUGGCCAUGACAGUUUGGGCUUUUGUACUUGUACUUAUACAUCAUCUAUUCCGCUGCUUAUGUUUAUGACUUUCGAGUACCAUUUUAAUGCCAUAUACGUAUAUCCUAGGCAAUGUAUGUAUGGGGUGUUACAAGUUGGAUCAAAUAAAUUACAUAUAAUGAUAAAA